rnacentral:rRNA from 1 species
UACGUAGGCAGCGAGCGUUGUUCGGAAUUACUGGGCGUAAAGAGUGUGUAGGCGGUGUUCCAAGUCUGGUGUGAAAUCUCCCGGCUUAACUGGGAGGGUGCGCCGGAAACUGGAAUGCUCGAGGGUGGGAGAGGUAAGCGGAAUUCCUGGUGUAGCGGUGAAAUGCGUAGAUAUCAGGAGGAACACCUGUGGUGUAGACGGCUUUCUGGACCAUAGCUGACGCUGAGACACGAAAGCGUGGGGAGCAAACAGG